UGGGGAAUUUUGGACAAUGGGCGAAAGCCUGAUCCAGCAAUGCCGCGUGUGUGAAGAAGGCCUUCGGGUUGUAAAGCACUUUUGUCCGGAAAGAAAUCCUUGGCUCUAAUACAGUCGGGGGGAUGACGGUACCGGAAGAAUAAGCACCGGCUAACUACGUGCCAGCAGCCGCGGUAAUACGUAGGGUGCAAGCGUUAAUCGGAAUUACUGGGCGUAAGCGUGCGCAGGCGGUUUGCUAAGACCGAUGUGAAAUCCCCGGGCUCAACCUGGGAACUGCAUUGGUGACUGGCAGGCUAGAGUAUGGCAGAGGGGGGUAGAAUUCCACGUGUGAGCAGUGAAAUGCGUAGAGAUGUGGAGGAAUACCGAUGGCGAAGGCAGCCCCCUGGGCCAAUACUGACGCUCAUGCACG
rnacentral:rRNA from 1 species